AUGGCUUGGACGGCCGCGGCCUCCCUGUGCUGCCGCCUCGUCCGCGCGCCCCCCGUCCGUCGCCGCGCUCGGCGCCGGACCUUGUGCUCCGCCGCGCGGAGCACCGACGCGGUGGACAGGGAGUACGCGGACCUCAAUCUCCGCCCCCUCUACCCCAAUCGGGGCCAUCACCUUCGCAUCCGGCAGCACGUGAAUCCGCUCAGCGCCUUGUUCGUCGAACCCACGGAGCCGCCUGAAUGGACGGAGGUGUUCGAGGACCCCCUGCUGCCCCUCAUGGUCGACAUCGGCUGCGGGAGUGGGAGAUUCUUGGUUUGGUUAGCAAAGAACUCCGGUGAAAGGCGGAAUUACCUCGGACUGGAAAUCCGGCAGAAGUUGGUCGAGCGGACACAGUUCUGGGUAACAGAAUUGGGGCUUAGAAAUGUUUACUUUAUGUUUGCAAAUGCAACGGUGUCUUUCGAGCAAAUUGUGUUAUCAUACCCUGGUCCCCUAUCGCUUGUUUCAAUACUGUUUUUUGUUUUAGUUGAUGUUAUGGAAUUGACAGCUGAGGUGCAAUCAUCUUUUCUGCAGUGUCCUGAUCCUCACUUUAAGAAAAGGCAUCACAAGAGAAGAGUUCUACAGACACCAUUGGUGGAUUCGAUCACAAAGAACCUUUGUCUGGGUGGGCGGGUGCUUGUACAAUCAGAUGUGCUUGAUGUAGCUACAGACAUGAGAGAAAGGUUUGAUGGAUACGCGGAUGUGUUUGAGCAUGCUGAUCGUAUUGAUAAAGAUCUUCAGUGUGACGACGAAGGUUGGCUUCUGGACAACCCUAUGGGAAUACGGACAGAGAGGGAAAUCCAUGCUGAGCUGGAAGGAGCGACCAUAUACAGGAGGAUGUACCAAAAGACGAGAUGUUUCUCACCAGAUUACUCCAUCAGUUAA
rnacentral:rRNA from 1 species